GGCACAUUGCCUAUUGGUCAUAGUUUUAGUAUGUCCAGCAUGUCCGUAGGCCAAAGUGGAGGGGGACCUGUUGGUCAGACAUUUCUUCAGCCCAUUACCAUGGUUCCACAGGUAUCACCAAGUCUCCCUCAACAAUAUUUUCAGUCACAAACAUUCUCAUCAGAUGCCACUCCCCAUGGGUCAUUGGCCCCCUCACAGUCAUACAUACCCCCUGUUUCACUACAAGCACCCAUUAAUGUUCUCAAUACAUCCAUGUCAGUCAGGGAUCCUGCUGGACUAGAGGGGAGCAUUGUGCCCCUCGCUCAGGAGACCCAACCCCCUGCCACUCCCAUGCAGCUCACUGACAUCAUUCCCCAGCCAGCACCCCAGCAAACACAGCCUGUCAUGAUCCCUCAGCAGACUAUUGUCCAACAACAACAGAUAGGGAUGGAUCCCCAGACCUCCACCUUUCAGCAGCAGCCGCAACAGCAAAUGGAGGCCCAGGCCACUCAGCUCGAACAACCAGUUAGUGCCACUAUGCCACCAACGGAACAUCAUCCACAGAGUCUUUCAGCUAUUGCUGUCCAGAAACAUCAACUUGAGCCUCAGCAGCAGAUCUAUGUACAGCAGCCUGUUCCUCCUGUCCACACAACUCCUCAGCAGCAAGUAUUACCUACACAACCAGGUAUGGAGCAGCGAGCUAUGUCAUUACCACAGCCAGGGGAGCAACCUCAGACUUACAAACAGCAACCAACAGGGGAUCCUCGUGAACAGACCAUGAUACAACCACAUCUGCAACAACAGUUUCAGCAAACUCUGUUACAACAGCAACAACUAAUUGAGCAACAUCAUACGUACGUCCAGCAACAGCUUGAUCAGCAGCAACAAAAAGCACUGCUUCAACAGCAGCAACAACAACAGGCCCAACUACAACAACAUCAAUUGGAGCAGCAGCAAGCACUUAUACACAAGCAAUUGUUGGAUCAACAACAGCAGCAAGCUCUUAUUCAACAGCAACAAGAGCAGCAGCAACAGCAAGGUCUUGUACAACAACAGCAACCACAACAAGCACUUUUACAACAUCAGUUAGAGCAACAACAGCCUCCUUUACAGCAGCAGAGUCAGUUAUAUCAACAAAUUGGAAUACAAAAAGAACCAGAGAAGCUACAGCAAAGUGGACAACACCAUCAACAAAUUGUAUUGCAGCAGCAACCCCAGCAGACGCAACAGCAAAAGGA
rnacentral:lncRNA from 1 species